AGAGUUUGAUCAUGGCUCAGGACGAACGCUGGCGGCGUGCCUAAUACAUGCAAGUCGAGCGGACCGACGGGAGCUUGCUCCCUUGGGUCAGCGGCGGACGGGUGAGUAACACGUGGGUAACCUGCCUGUAAGACUGGGAUAACUCCGGGAAACCGGGGCUAAUACCGGAUGCUUGAUUGAACCGCAUGGUUCAAUCAUAAAAGGUGGCUUUUAGCUACCACUUGCAGAUGGACCCGCGGCGCAUUAGCUAGUUGGUGAGGUAACGGCUCACCAAGGCGACGAUGCGUAGCCGACCUGAGAGGGUGAUCGGCCACACUGGGACUGAGACACGGCCCAGACUCCUACGGGAGGCAGCAGUAGGGAAUCUUCCGCAAUGGACGAAAGUCUGACGGAGCAACGCCGCGUGAGUGAUGAAGGUUUUCGGAUCGUAAAACUCUGUUGUUAGGGAAGAACAAGUACCGUU
rnacentral:rRNA from 1 species